rnacentral:lncRNA from 1 species
UAAAAUCCCUUUGCUCUUGGUGUAGACGACAACUAUUUGAUUUCCUAAUUAGCGUAGGUUAUUAAUAUUCAUAAGUUGAAAUUAUGGGAUGUAAGCCGGGACAAGCAGCAAGACGAUCGUAAUACGUACACCAUAUGUGAACCUCGUAAUUAUAAAUCUGUCUAUUGUGAAUGAAAUAACUGAAGAACAUCAAGAUUAUCGAGAAUUAAAUCGCUGAUAUAAUCGAC